GUCAGUUGACGAGUCCCAAAUAGAACGAAACGCGCAUCCUGGAU
rnacentral:hammerhead_ribozyme from 1 species